CCCGCUGAACUUAAGCAUAUCAAUAAGCGGAGGAAAAGAAACUAACAAGGAUUCCCCUAGUAACUGCGAGUGAAGCGGGAAAAGCUCAAAUUUAAAAUCUGGUGGUCUUUGGCCAUCCGAGUUGUAAUUUAGAGAAGCGUCUUCCGCGCUGGACCAUGCAUAAGUCUCCUGGAAUGGAGCGUCAUAGAGGGUGAGAAUCCCGUCUUUGGCAUGGACCCCCAGGGCUUCUGUGAUGCGCUCUCAAAGAGUCGAGUUGUUUGGGAAUGCAGCUCAAAAUGGGUGGUGAACUCCAUCUAAAGCUAAAUAUUGGCGAGAGACCGAUAGCGAACAAGUACCGUGAGGGAAAGAUGAAAAGCACUUUGGAAAGAGAGUGAAACAGUACGUGAAAUUGUGNAAAGGGGAAACGCUUGAAGUCAGUCGCGUCGACCGAGACUCAGCCUUGCCUUGGCUUGGUGUACUUCUCGGCUGACGGGUCAGCAUCAAUUUCGAUCCUUGGNAUAUGGCAAGGGAAAGGUAGCACCUUUAUAGGUGUGUUAUAGUCCUCUGUCGGAUGCAAGGGUUGGGAUUGAGGAACUCAGCAUGCACCUUGUCGGUGUCGGGGCCUUGGCCCACGUUUACAUGCUUAGGAUGCUGGCAUAAUGGCUUUAAACGACCCGUCUUGAAACACGG
rnacentral:rRNA from 1 species